UUCAUCGUGAACGACACGGGAUGUUUGAAGAAGCCUUCUGGCAGCCAGUUCGUUUUCUCUUCUCUCUAAUCUGCUUCCUUCCUGAGUUAGCUCUCUCGCCCGCGGCUUAUCAACUUCCUGUGUUGCAUGAUCCAGGUUUCUGUCUCUUUAUGCUUCCACAUCAUGGAAGCAAAAGAGCCUAUUUCGGAGAAGAAGAUUGGCAAGUCUGGGCAGUGUGUCCCCACCUCUCUCCUGCUUGGUGCUCAGCGCUCUCCCUGGCUACCACUUCAGGCCUGUAAUGAUGUUUGUUUCUAGUCACUUUAUGGCUGUGCUGCUGCAAUUUUAGGGCCUUUUGAGCUGAAUGGCAGGAUAGCUUCCUCAGUCCUGGGGAGCAUAAUUAUCAAGCAGAGGCUGAGUGGAGAUGAAAGGAUGGCUGUCGAAGGAGUGAAAAUGAAGUCACAAAGUGGAAGAACUUCAACAUAUGAAAUUGGAGUAAGAAAAGGAAACCGUGAGCUGCCCAGGACUGCUACCUGGUGUGGCUCUUCAUAUAUUGACUAGGACUGUUCUACAAAGUACUGAAUCCCUAAACCACAGCUGGCUUCCUCCUGCCUUCAUCUUCUGCUGCCUGGAAGAUGGGGAGAAGAUUUUCAGCAACUUCUCUCAGAAUUCUUCACCUCCUUCCUGUUUUCUGUCAGAGGUUUUCUGUUAUUUCCAAUCCAUUCACUGUUCCCCAGCUUACAGUCACUCUUCCAGGGGAAACAGAUUCCACUUUACCUUGUAUCUACUUUUACUUGAAGAGGAGAUGAAGCAUGAUGGGGGGGGGCGGGGGCAGAUUUCCAUAAAUCUGGGUCAGCAGACUGGCAAGAUAGGGUGGGAGAAGUAAUCCAAGAUGAAAGCUCCAAACUCAAGGUGAUCAAACCCAAGGUCCAAUGCUGUCAAACAGAGUGCAUGUAAAACAGAGGAGAAAACAAAACAAAACAAAAAGAAAAUGAAGGAUUGAAACUAUGUAACAGAUCUGAGUGUCACUUAUGAGUCAAGCCAGCAUCACCUGAAAACAAUCAGCAACAAAACAAAACAAAACCUUAUGUUUCUACUACAUUGUGAAGGAAGGCUCAUGGGCUCCAACAGCUGAGAAACUUGAUUUCCGGGCAAAGGAAAGAUGAGGAAAAAUAGCACCAAUUAACUCUACAUCAAGACAAGAGCCCUAUUUUAGAUAUGAACUGAUUCUUGGAAACUGUAUGGCUAUAUUGUGUGAAUAUUUGUUUCUGUUUUAUUUUUUCUACAGCUUAAAGUUUGAUUUAAAUCAGAGGUUUUUAUUCCUGUCUACUUCUUCAGUUUAGGUGUAGAACUAUAUUCUGGCGACCAAUGUAAUGGGAAUGUUUUAAGAAGGUAAAUACCUUUUGUUAGGUAUCAUGAAGCCUACAUAUAGUUCAACUCUACUUGCACAAAGAAUGGUUAAGGUGAAUUUCUCUCAAAAUUAAUAACUUUGGGAAGGGAAAAAGUCUCUCUCUCUCUCUCUCUCUCUCUCUCUCU
rnacentral:lncRNA from 1 species